UACGAAGGGGGCUAGCGUUGCUCGGAAUUACUGGGCGUAAAGCGCACGUAGGCGGCUUUCUAAGUCGGGGGUGAAAUCCUGGAGCUCAACUCCAGAACUGCCUUCGAUACUGGAAAGCUCGAGUCCGGGAGAGGGAUGCGGAAUUCCAGGGUGUAGCGGUGAAAUGCGUAGAUAUCUGGAGGAACACCGGUGGCGAAGGCGGCAUCCUGGACCGACACUGACGCUGAGGAGCGAAAGCCAGGGGAGCAAACGGG
rnacentral:rRNA from 1 species